AGCAGCCGCGGUAAUUCCAGCUCCAAUAGCGUAUAUUAAAGUUGUUGCAGUUAAAAAGCUCGUAGUUGAAUUUCGGGAUCAUCAGGUAGGUCGUGCCACUGGUAUGUACUUGCCUUGAUGGUUCCUCCCUCUUGAAGAACCGUAAUGUCAUUAAUUUGGUGUUGCGGGGAAUCAGGACUGUUACUUUGAAAAAAUUAGAGUGUUUAAAGCAGGCAAACGCUUGAAUACAUUAGCAUGGAAUAAUGAAAUAGGACGUUUGAUCCUAUUUUGUUGGUUUCUAGGAUCGACGUA
rnacentral:rRNA from 1 species